rnacentral:rRNA from 1 species
ACACUCCUACGGGAGGCAGCAGUGGGGAAUAUUGGACAAUGGGCGCAAGCCUGAUCCAGCCAUGCCGCGUGAGUGAUGAAGGCCCUAGGGUUGUAAAGCUCUUUUGUGCGGGAAGAUAAUGACGGUACCGCAAGAAUAAGCCCCGGCUAACUUCGUGCCAGCAGCCGCGGUAAUACGAAGGGGGCUAGCGUUGCUCGGAAUCACUGGGCGUAAAGGGUGCGUAGGCGGGUCUUUAAGUCAGGGGUGAAAUCCUGGAGCUCAACUCCAGAACUGCCUUUGAUACUGAAGAUCUUGAGUUCGGGAGAGGUGAGUGGAACUGCGAGUGUAGAGGUGAAAUUCGUAGAUAUUCGCAAGAACACCAGUGGCGAAGGCGGCUCACUGGCCCGAUACUGACGCUGAGGCACGAAAGCGUGGGGAGCAAACAGGAUUAGAAACCCGAGUAGUCCCAUG